AGAGUUUGAUCCUGGCUCAGGACGAACGCUGGCGGCGUGCCUAAUACAUGCAAGUCGAACGAACACUUUCGGGUGUUAGUGGCGAACGGGUGAGUAACACGUGAGUAACCAACCUAUAAGACGAGGAUAACUAUUGGAAACGGUAGCUAAGACUGGAUAGGAUAUAUGAUGAGAAACAUAUAUUUAAAGUUGCCUCAAAGCAACACUUAUAGAUGGGCUUGCGGCGCAUUAGCUAGUUGGUAGGGUAAAAGCCUACCAAGGCAACGAUGCGUAGCCGACCUGAGAGGGUGAACGGCCACACUGGGACUGAGACACGGCCCAGACUCCUACGGGAGGCAGCAGUAGGGAAUCUUCGGCAAUGGACGAAAGUCUGACCGAGCAACGCCGCGUGAGUGAAGAAGGUCUUCGGAUUGUAAAGCUCUGUUACUAGGGAAGAAAGGAAUUAAGAGGAAAUGCUUAAUUAUUGACGGUACCUAAUGAGAAAGCCACGGCUAACUACGUGCCAGCAGCCGCGGUAAUACGUAGGUGGCAAGCGUUGUCCGGAAUUAUUGGGCGUAAAGGGUGCGUAGGCGGUCUAAUAAGUCUCAUUUGAAAGCCCAUGGCUUAACCAUGGAGGGUGAUGGGAAACUGUUAGACUUGAGUACAGGAGAGGAAGGUGGAAUUCCACGUGUAGCGGUGAAAUGCGUAGAUAUGUGGAGGAACACCGGUGGCGAAGGCGGCCUUCUGGCCUGUGUCUGACGCUGAGGCACGAAAGCGUGGGUAGCAAACAGGAUUAGAUACCCUGAUAGUCCACGCUGUAAACGAUGAGUACUAAGUGUUGGGGGAAACCUCGGUGCUGAAGUUAACGCAUUAAGUACUCCGCCUGGGAAGUACGGUCGCAAGACUGAAACUCAAAUGAAUUGACGG
rnacentral:rRNA from 1 species